rnacentral:rRNA from 1 species
CCUACGGGGGGCAGCAGUGAGGAAUAUUGGUCAAUGGGCUUACGCCUGAACCAGCCAAGUCGCGUGAGGGAAGACUGCCCUAUGGGUUGUAAACCUCUUUUGUCAGGGAGCAAUUGGCGCUACGUGUAGCGUUAUCGAGAGUACCUGAAGAAAAAGCAUCGGCUAACUCCGUGCCAGCAGCCGCGGUAAUACGGAGGAUGCGAGCGUUAUCCGGAUUUACUGGGUGUAAAGGGAGCGUAGACGGCGUGCCAAGUCUGAUGUGAAAGGCCGGGGCUCAACCCCGGGACUGCAUUGGAAACUGGCAUGCUGGAGUGCCGGAGGGGCAAGCGGAAUUCCUAGUGUAGCGGUGAAAUGCGUAGAUAUUAGGAGGAACACCGGUGGCGAAGGCGGCUUGCUGGACGGUAACUGACGUUGAGGCUCGAAAGCGUGGGGAGCAAACAGGAUUAGAUACCCCUGUAGUC